UGGGGAAUAUUGCGCAAUGGGCGAAAGCCUGACGCAGCGACGCCGCGUGAGGGAUGAAGGCCUUCGGGUUGUAAACCUCUUUCAGCAGGGACGAAAACAGACGGUACCUGCAGAAGAAGCACCGGCCAACUACGUGCCAGCAGCCGCGGUAAUACGUAGGGUGCAAGCGUUGUCCGGAAUUAUUGGGCGUAAAGAGCUCGUAGGCGGUUUGUCGCGUCGGCUGUGAAAACUCGGGGCUCAACCCCGAGCCUGCAGUCGAUACGGGCAGACUAGAGUGCUGUAGGGGAGACUGGAAUUCCUGGUGUAGCGGUGAAAUGCGCAGAUAUCAGGAGGAACACCGGUGGCGAAGGCGGGUCUCUGGGCAGUAACUGACGCUGAGGAGCGAAAGCGUGGGGAGCAAACAGGAUUAGAUACCCCCGUAGUCC
rnacentral:rRNA from 1 species